rnacentral:rRNA from 1 species
UGCAGUCGAACGAUGAUGCUUCAGCUUGCUGAAGCGGAUUAGUGGCGAACGUUGUGAGUAUCACGUGAGCAACCUGCCCUUGACUCUGGGAUAAGCCUGGGAAACUGGGUCUAAUACCGGAUAUGACCAUUCAUCGCAUGGUGAAUGGUGGAAAGCUUUUGCGGUCUUGGAUGGGCUCGCGGCCUAUCAGCUUGACGGUGGGGUAGUGGCCCACCGUGGCGAUGACGGGUAGCCGGCCUGAGAGGGUGACCGGCCACACUGGGACUGAGACACGGCCCAGACUCCUACGGGAGGCAGCAGUGGGGAAUAUUGCACAAUGGGCGAAAGCCUGAUGCAGCGACGCCGCGUGCGGGAUGACGGCCUUCGGGUUGUAAACCGCUUUCAGCAGGGAACAAGGGGUUCGCCUUGAGGGUACCUGCAGAAGAAGCGCCGGCUAACUACGUGCCAGCAGCCGCGGUAAUACGUAGGGCGCGAGCGUUAUCCGGAAUUAUUGGGCGUAAAGAGCUCGUAGGCGGUUUGUCACGUCUGCUGUGAAAGCCCGGGGCUUAACCCCGGGUCUGCAGUGGGUACGGGCAGACUAGAGUGCAGUAGGGGAGACUGGAAUUCCUGGUGUAGCGGUGAAAUGCGCAGAUAUCA